rnacentral:lncRNA from 1 species
AGAACAAGUAGUCCGACUAAGUUGACAUUAUUCAGAUGAACUGGGACAACGAGCAAAGUCUGCUAAAACCUCGACAGCAGCUAAUGGGGAAUGAGAGUGGAGCUGACGGUCGUAAAAAGGAGAAGCGUUCAUCUUCCUCAGAUGAACAGCCUCCGGAAAGUAUAAUAAAAAAGAAAAAGGACAGUACUUGUGCACGGAAAUGCACAAAAUGCAGUGCUUGUAAAGAAAAGAUAAAGAAGUUGGAGGAAGACAACCGACGGCUACGUCAACAUUUGGACAGCUUAAGUGAGUUGAAAAGCAUGGUGUGUGAUCUCAAGGAGUUCUUAGAAGUAAGACAGCCUUCUUCAAGCCAUUAAAAUAUAACGCAUCCAUGUGAGGAUGAGGAUCCACGGCAGUUCACCUGGACUCCCUGAUAUGUUCUGAUCUGAUUUGUUCUGUGGCUGCAUUUUCUCUGGUUCUGGUGCUGGCUGCAUCAAUUAUCUCCACCUUUAUUUGUUCACAUUAAAUCAAUUGCAAUUGGAUUCA